GCCCUGGAGUACUCGCCAGUUGAUGAGUCCUUGAGCCGAUAAUUUAUAACCUGGGGGGUUUAAGCCGAUACGGUGUGCAUGUCCGCAUGACGGAAAGCCUAAUGUAUCGCUGAACCUGCCACCUUGAACCUUUCGGUUCAAGGCGCAAUCAAUAGCGGUAUCUUCGGGGA
rnacentral:other from 1 species